rnacentral:lncRNA from 1 species
AUAUCUGUCCAAAGAGUAAAUAUACAUCACGGGGUAUACAAAAAGAAUAGGUACAACGGUGGUCUCUCUAUACAUAGGGACAUCACCCUCGGCCGUAGCCCGAGUAGCAAGGUGAUCGACUAGCAUGCUCCUAGCAAUGUCUAGCUAGACGCGACUCCUUUGCCACGAUCCCUAGUGUCACGCCCCGGGACCGGCGAAGGCCCUCCCGGUAGCGUGCCCAGACCCGCCAUAUGUCUACACAUAUAAGGCGUCUACAGAAAAAGCGGAAGUAAAAGAAACGAACGAGCAACAACUAGUGAUAUCAGAGCAGUAUGAUUCUAUAACAAUAGGAAAAGAGCAUAACUAAACCAUAAAAGUGAAACAUAAGUAGUACAAUAUCUGCUUCUAGUACAAAAAUGGUGGUCUCUAUACAUAUACGGGUACAACUCUCAACCUCUCACAAAAGAAAACACGAGAGGUAGACCACCUAUCGAACGAUCCCUCGGUAAGCACGCUAGCCCGAGGCGAUACCCUUUCCGCGAUCCCUGGCCUCUCCCUACGUGGAAGGCUCUGAAAAACAUCGAGAGAAAGAGGGCGUGAGAACUAUAAUUUAUAGUUCCCAGUGGGCAAUUACUGACCUCAGCUCAUGCUCCACUAGGCCCCAAAAAUAAGGGUAAGCAACGAUAAUAAUAAUAAGCAAUAAGGAGCAUGUAAAUAAACUGCUGAAAGAAAGCAUAAUUGAAAUGCUAGUCUACUGUGUCUCAAGUAAGCAUGAUGUCAACCAAAAUGUACAUCUAUUCUAUCAUUACAAUUAAGUCCAAUGGCACUAGUUUAAUGUUGUUAACCUUUGUCAAUACAUGAUGUAGAAGUUCUAUCAUGGCAACCAAGUAUACUACAUGUCUCACACUAUGCUAAAAGCAUGUAAAUGUAAUCCAACUACUAAGCCUAUCUAGUAGUGAUCAUUCAUUCUCAAACCGUGUCGAUUUUCAUUUCCAAUUAAGGAUCUACCCAAGGUAGUCCGGCUUGUGCCGCCUAAGUGCCUGUGGUAGCCCGACAUUCCUACCCAUGGAAUGUGUCUGUCCCACUCGACCCCGUAGGCGUCUCAAUACCGCACGAGCGAACAAAAGUCGCAUAGGCCAACUCCGGAGUGCCGGCUUGUGGGGAGCGACCCUCACAAGCAUGUGCGAAUGAGCACAAAUGGCAAACAAGCAAGGUCACUGUCUCAAGUACCCAAUCCUCAUGUCUCUAACAUGGUAUAGUCACUAGCAUCCCGAAGAUCUAGUUCAAAGUCAUAAUGUGAAGUCCCAACACACACUUGCUUAGUGCCUCUUUAUGACACUUAAGCUCCACAACUAAUCAUGUUCCAAUUAAGACAUUAACAUUAAUGCUCACUAUGCCCCGGGCCCCAAUGCCUCUUCAUGACAUUGGCCCAAUCUCACAUAUCAUCUAAGUCCCUAAGCCUCUCUAGGCUUCCAAAAAUCCCUAAUGUCACAUCUGGUAUAUAGUUUGAAUGCAUGAAAGCAAGGUUCGUUUUCAUAAUAGGGAUUAUAAUUUCAAGUCUCAACUAGAAUGCUAGGCCACACAUGCAUGCUCUCUACUAUAUAGAGGUCCCAAAAUUUACUACACAUAACCUAUGCAUGUUAAGCAUUCUAAAAUUCAUAAUAAAUACAUUUAACAUGAAAAUGCAAGAAUUUCAACUCUACGAAACAUUUAACACCAAAGAUGAGCAUUUCUCAUAUUGUAUGCUAGGCCAAACCCACCGAACCGUCGCGUAGGGCCUCGUUUCGCCGAACCAAGUUGUCCCCGAGUCUCAAAAUACCCUAAAAGUGAUCAGCGAAGAGAUACGAGGGCAUUACAACCAUCCUAUAACAUCAAACAUUAACCUAGGAGCAAAAAGGGGCAAAACUCACCUCAAGAGUAGAAAUCUCUUCCAAAACUCCAAAAGAGAGCUAGAACCCUUCCAAUCCAAGCCUUAGGAAGGUUCUAAACCAAUCAAUUUAGCCCCAAAAGUCCUAGAUCAAAAAUGCCCAAUAUCAAACCCUAAAUCUCAUUUCUAGGGUUAAAACAAGCAAAAAACUCCAAAACUAGGAUCUAGAGGGAGGAACCUUGCCACAAACCUCUAGGAUGCUCUAAUCCAAGCUCAAAAUCUUCUAGGGUUGAAGAUUGAUCCACCACAAAGCUCCAAAAGCAAGCUCCAAGCCUCCAAAGGUGGGAAAGGAGGAAGAAGAUGGUGCUCCAAGCAAGCCCUUCUCCUCUUCUUCUCCUUCUUCUCCUUCUCCCUCUCUUCUUCUCUCUCUAGAAUGCAAUGGGCUGAGAGAAAAUGAGAGUGAGAGGGGAGGAGAGGCUGCCUAUAGCCUCUAAGGUAACAAAAUCCAGUUAGGCCCCUCAAAAACCCAAAAUUACAUCAGCCCGGACUGGGCAGUUUUCGCCCAGAGGGACCGGUCUCUCCCCAGCAGGGACCGGUCUCUCGCUACGAACCCGAAAAACCAGCGUUCGGGAACCGGUCUCUCCCUGCGCGGGACCGGUCUCUCACUGUGAAAACGCGUUCGGGAACCGGUCUCGCCUGCCAGGGACCGGUUGCCUCAGGCUGCCUCAACACUGCUCACUGGGGGAACCGGUCUCUCCUUCCAGGGACCGGUCCCCGAGAGUAAAAACUCUCAGGACUUGUCCAAAGUUCCAGAUUUCGAACUUUUCGGGUCGGGAAACAUUUUACAACCCUCCACCAAGUGUGGAAAAGCUCGAAAUACAUCCAAACACUCGAACCUCGCAAUUUGCAAAGGUCCAGUGUGUUACACCUAGCCUCUCCUCUAGAUGGCUCUAUAAAAACAACCACCAAAAAGGGCGUGAGAACUAUAAAC